rnacentral:rRNA from 1 species
UACGUAGGGUGCGAGCGUUGUCCGGAAUUAUUGGGCGUAAAGAGCUCGUAGGCGGUCUGUCGCGUCGGUCGUGAAAACUUGGGGCUUAACCCUGAGCUUGCGGUCGAUACGGGCAUCACUGGAGUUCGGCAGGGGGAGACUGGAAUUCCUGGUGUAGCGGUGAAAUGCGCAGAUAUCAGGAGGAACACCGGUGGCGAAGGCGGGUCUCUGGGCCGAUACUGACGCUGAGGAGCGAAAGCGUGGGGAGCGAACAGG